rnacentral:rRNA from 1 species
GACGAACCGUGCGAACGUUGUUCGGAAUCACUGGGCUUAAAGGGCGCGUAGGCGGCAGCGCAAGUCCGGGGUGAAAGCCCCCAGCUUAACUGGGGAAGGGCCUUGGAGACUGCGGUGCUCGAGGGAGGUAGGGGUCGCGGGAACUUCGGGUGGAGCGGUGAAAUGCGUUGAUAUCCGAAGGAACGCCGGUGGCGAAAGCGCGCGACUGGACCUCUUCUGACGCUGAGGCGCGAAAGCCAGGGGAGCGAACGGG